GGGGCUAUAGCUCAGCUGGGAGAGCGCCUGGAUCGCACCCAGGAGGUCGCCGGUUCGAGCCCGGCUAGCUCCA
rnacentral:tRNA from 11 species